GGCUGGUCUGAGUGCAGUGGUUUCAUAAUUAAUUCAUCACACCCAGUUACAGAUUUCUUUGUUCCUUCUCCACUCUCACGGCUUCAUGUGACUAGCAAAA
ensembl:misc_RNA Y_RNA Y RNA